GGGAGGCCUCGCCCGGUGUGGGGCAGCCGCGGGGCGCGCGGGGCUGACCUGCUGGAAGGCCUUCAGCCGUUUCUUGAACCGCGAGGGCAGCACGAAGUCGCAGCCGCGGGCCAGCGAGGCCAGCUCCUGGCGCAGGUCGGGGUCCUGGCGCAGCGAGCGCUCGCGGAGCCGCAUGCCGUCGGCGCGCAGGGCUCUCCGCGGGCCGGGCCGGGCGCUGCGCUCUCGGGGCAGGGCCGGGCCGGGGCCGGCGGGGCGCUGCAGGCGGGGCCCGGGCUCAGCGCGCUCCAUGCGUCGCCCGCCAGGCGCUCUGGGGCCGGGGCCCGCGCCGCGCGCAUUCCUCAGGCUGAGGAGGGCUCAUGGCGCCGGGGGUGGCGGCGGCCGCCCCUCCCGACCCGCGACUGUGCAGACCCGGCCGCCCCCGGCGCUGCUCUCUUCUCCUCCUUCUCCGCUCCCUGCACUGCCCUCCGCUCCCCUCGGUCCUCUCCUCUCCUCUCCCCGUUCGCUCCGGGCUGGGCCGUCCCGCAGGGCAGGGGGCGCUUUCUGCGCGGUCACGUGGCUCGCCCUGGAGCGCGCACCAACAGGUCCCCGGGAGGAGAGCCCGGGCGGAGCGCGCACCCACAGGUCCCCAAGAGGAGACCCCGGGCGGAGCGCGCACCCACAGGUCCCCAAGAGGAGAGCCCGGGCGGAGCGCGCACCCACAGGUCCCCGAGAGAGCCCGGGCGGAGCGCGCACCAACAGGUCCCCGAGGAGAGCCCGGGCGGAGCGCGCACCCACAGGUCCCCGAGAGCCCGGGCGGAGCGCGCACCAACAGGUCCCCGAGAGGAGAGCCCGGGCGGAGCGCGCACCCACAGGUCCCCGAGAGAGCCUGGGCGGAGCGCGCACCCACAGGUCCCCGGGAGGAGAGCCCGGGCGGAGCGCGCACCAACAGGUCCCCGAGAGAGCCUGGGCGGAGCGCGCACCCACAGGUCCCCGAGAGGAGAGCCCGGGCGGAGCGCGCACCCACAGGUCCCCGAGAGAGCCCGGGCGGAGCGCGCACCAACAGGUCCCCGAGAGGAGAGCCUGGGGACCCAGUCGAAGGCGCUCCCCCCGAG
ensembl:lncRNA